CACUUGCAGGUUGUUCUGUGGUUGUUUUGUGUUUUUAUGUGUGGUUUUAUUUGUUUGUUUGUUUCCUACAUGGGAACAUGUGCAAGAAAAUACUAAAAAUAUAAGUUUGGUUUUUUAUUCUGUAUUCUUCUGUAUUUUGUACCAGGAAGAAACAGAGUAUGUUCUAGCAGAUGUGGGGGGUUUUACGUGCAUCAUUUAACAUGCACUUAGGAAUGUGCUUUGUCCUUACAUAAAAUGUUUAAUUAAGUUGUUUGCCAGUAUCAUUAUGUUUGUAUAACAGAUGCUGUUAGCACCUAAUUUAACACUUGAACAUUCUCAUCUUCUCCCCAAGAAUAUUCUUCAGUCCAAUAGGCAGCGUUACAUUUGACUUCUGAAUAGAAGGUGAAGCGAUAGAACUCUAAUCAGAGUGUUUUUAUUUGCAAUUACUUAUUGAUGAGGUUUUUGCCAAAUGUUGUACACAUUAGUGACUUCACUGCGCUUCAGUCAAAGAUAAAAUGUGAAACUGGUUCUAAGGAGAAAUAACACAGUGAAGAAAUACAUAUUAGGGAAAGAUGACCUAGGGCAAGGUAAAUUCUGUGUUUUGAUUUGAAUCUGUGUACUUUGUAUUCUAAUCAUUUCUGGCACCCAGUUCUGCAGCCCUGAGCAAGUUAAUAAAAUAAAUGAAUCAAUACAUUACAAAAGAAAAAUCCCUGUCCCUUUCAUUUUCAAGUAGACUCUCAUCGAGGCAGGAAAGGUAGCGUGGGAAGCCCUACCCAUGGAGCGUGAAGCGGUGUCAAUAAAGGAAGAAAAGUUCACCGGACUGUCUUCAGGACUGUUAUUCCCAAGAGGAAGAGGCUUUGACUGUAUUACGACCACGUUCACAACUCAUUCCCUCCCAGGGGUGCUCAUCUUGUUUGCUUAGCUGGGUCCUAAUACUGGACUGCUGUCACACACAAGGUUACUCCGAGCUCAGAAUCCGUUCUUCAGAUGUUAACAAUGAUUUGGCUAUAGUAGAUGGCUCUCUGCAAGGUUUUAUGGUCUGCUGCUGUUUUGCAUAUUACCAUUAUGGGUUGGCAAGCAGGGCUUUGAGGCUCAUGGGGUGAAGCUAAUCCCUGCUUUUGCACUCUUGCAGAAAUCUUGGCAGGACUUUAGGCUAUGAAGAGAGAUGGAUGGAGGAGAAGGGUUAUGGGGAGGCUGGAAACUGCAUUUGAGACUCUGCAGGGAGUCUUAAUACUGGCAAUUUGUGUUCAGUGCGAUAAAGUGGAAAAAGUGCUUGUUUAGGAAAGCUGACAGGAGAACAGAAAGUUAAACUUUGCUGCUGCAGAUCCAGAACUCCUUCCUGAUGCUUUGACUGGGUAGGCUUAGCUUACUAUUUUAGAGCAAACAAAGCAACAUUGCAUUGUAAUGCCAGAGAAGUAAUAGAGCGCUUCCUGUACUUAAAAUUCAAUUCUACAUUCCCUGCAGAAAUGCACAUGGUUUUCUGUGAAAUAAAUACAGUUUAACAUGUUUG
rnacentral:lncRNA from 1 species